rnacentral:rRNA from 3 species
CUUAGCGCGGUGGUCCCACCUGACCCCAUGCCGAACUCAGAAGUGAAACGCCGUAGCGCCGAUGGUAGUGUGGGGUCUCCCCAUGCGAGAGUAGGGAACUGCCAGGC